rnacentral:rRNA from 1 species
CCUACGGGUGGCAGCAGUGAGGAAUAUUGGUCAAUGGCCGUAAGCCUGAACCAGCCAAGUCGCGUGAAGGAAGAAGGAUCUAUGGUUUGUAAACUUCUUUUAUAGGGGAAUAAAGGUAUCCACGUGUGGAUAUUUGCAUGUACCCUAUGAAUAAGCAUCGGCUAACUCCGUGCCAGCAGCCGCGGUCAUACGGAGGAUGCGAGCGUUUUCCGGAUUUAUUGGGGUUAAAGGGUGCGUAGGUUGUUUUUUAAGUCAGCGGUGAAAGUUUGUGGCUCAAACAUAAGAUUGCCGUUGAAACUGGAAGACGUGAGUGUGUUUGAGGUAGGCGGAAUGCGGGGUGUAGCGGUGAAAUGCAUAGAUAGCACGCAGAACUCCGAUUGCGAAGGCAGCUUACUAGGCCAUAACUGACACUGAAGCACGAAAGCGUGGGGAUCAAACAGGAUUAGAUACCCUGGUAGUC